AAGCCUCUUUUCAGGCUGAGUCCUAAACCUGAAGAAAGUUUAGAGCCUGGGGCUCUAAACUACCUGAGUCUUUCCAAACGACAAGCCAAGAAGACCUGUUGAAAGUUUCCUCUUAAGUUUCGUGGAGAGAGACUCAGGUAUAGAAAUAUCCUUACUGCCACCUGACCUGAAGCAGAAGAAAUCACAGACAGCUUCCAGACCAGGGACACCACUGCCCAAGCUGGAGACCACGAGGAUUCAGGGACUGAAGCCAGCAUGGGAAUUCCUGGUUUGAGAUCAGAGUCCUGAGUACCUCGUGGGAACUUGGGCACUCAUCCGCAGGAGGUCUAGACCCCCAGAGAAUUCCUUGAGUCUAAGGCACAGGUAAAUGGAAGACCCUUCUCUCUCCUCUCUCCCCUCUAGAAAGCUCCCUCCUCCCUGAGCUCCCUGUCCCCUUCUUUCCACAAUCAGAGCCUCGGACCUUCUGUUUGGUGAAUAUGACCUGAGGCUCUGUCUAGCAUUCAGCUUCUAUUGUGGGAAGUUAAGGCACUUUCUCUCAUUCCUCAUUU
rnacentral:lncRNA from 1 species